GAUGAACGCUGGCGGCGUGCCUAAUACAUGCAAGUCGAGCGAACAGACGAGGCGCUUGCUCCUCUCUCGUUAGCGGCGGACGGGUGUGUAACACGUGUAUAACCUACCUAUCAGACUGGGAUAACUUCGGGAAACCGGCUCUAAUACCGUAUAAUCUCUUGAACCGCAUUGUUCAAUAGUGAAAUUCGGCUUUUCUGUCUCUUCUAGCUGGAUCUGCGCCGCAUUAGCUAGUUGGUAAGGUAACGGCUUACCACGGCAACGAUGCGUAGCCGACCUGAGAGAGUGAUCGGCCGCACUGGAGGUGAGACACGGACCAGGCUCCUGCGGGAGGCAGCAGUAGGGAAUGGGCCGCAGUAGGCGAAAGCAUGACGGAACAACGCGGAGUGAGUGAUAAAGGUCUUCGGAGCGUAAAAAUCGGUUAUUAGGGAAGAACAAAUGUGGAAGUAACUAUGCACGUAUUGACGGUACCUAAUCAGAAAGCAACGGCUAACUACGUG
rnacentral:rRNA from 1 species